ACACACACACACAUACAUACACACAUUCUCUCUCUCUCUCUCUCUCCCUCUCGUUGUCUCUCUAACAUUCUAUAAGUUUUAUAUCGUCGAACAUGACAAAACAUUAUUAUCACUAUUACUAUUAUUAUCAUUAUCAUCAUUAUUAAUAUUCUUAAAAUGUAUUAGGUUAACGAAUGAGAAGAAGAAACAAGUCGUAUAGUUUAGUCGAGAUCGACCGGGGCCGUGUUUUUCAUUGAGAACGCACUCUCUUCUCUCUCUUUCUCCCACCUCCCACCCCAUCUCUCUCCUUCUCUCUCUCUCUCUCUCUCUGGUACAGGAGGAGGAGGAGGAGGAAAAGGAGGAUUAUGAGAAGGAAGAAGGAGGUGAAGACUAGGAGAUUAGUAACGUUGGAUUGUACGCGAUAAAGGAGCCGUUGGAAGACAACGACUCGUCAACGGAAAAAGAGAGAAAGAAAAAGAGAGAGAAAGGGAGAGAGAGAGAGAGAGAGAAAAGUGGUAGUGGUACUGGUGAUGGUGCUGCUGUUGCUGGUUGAAGAGGAGUAGAAGGAGAAAGAGAGAGAGAGAGAGAGAGAGAGAGAAAGAGAGAGAGAGAGAGGGUAACACGCUCGAGGAAGUUGCCUGGAUACGGGGGCAGCGGCGGUGGCACCGUGUUGCGCCCUCGUUGAAGGAGGAGGUGGAGGGAAGCAAAGAGAGAAGGAAAGGGAGAGAAAGAGAGAGAGAGAGAGAGAGAGAGACAUCUAUAUAUAUAUAUAUAUAUACAUAUAUAUAUAGAGAGAGAGAGGGAGAGAGCGAGAGAGAAGUGCGCGCGCGCGCGCGCAACCGAGUGGCCGGCCGAGCGAGAACGCACAUAGAGUACGCCGCGUACGGAUUGGAAUGGAACGCGUCGCGGACCACGGCGAAGGAAGUGUUGGAGCGAAAGAGAGAGAGAGAAAGAGAGCGAGAGAGAUAGAUAGGGAGAGGGAAAGAGAGAAAGAGAGAGAGAUAGCUGAGUGACAGAAAAUAAAAGUGAACGAAGAGGAUUCGUGUUAUGGAAGAGAAACGCGAAACGGCAGGAUCAAUCGUGUGGAUAACGAACGAAAUGAUGUCCUUCUUAAUAAGGAAGGAUCGUGUCGGCGACACCUGUGUAUUUUGUGCGCUAUCAUAGUACGAGGGAGAUUAAUUGAUUCGUCCCUUCGAUUUACUAAACAAAAAAAUAUCUCCGGUGCUCUGGGGUCUUUCUUGCGAUAACUGCGAGACGCGAGAGCGUGGAGGGAAGAAAAGAAAAAUGAUUGAAUCGUGGAGGAAGUAUCAUUGGAGAGGAACAACUACGGCAACGAGAAAAACUAAAACAGCGUAGCGGUCGACGGGUUAGCGAUCGCUCGAAGAGGAAGAAGAAGAAGAGGAAGAGGAAGAAGAAGAAGAAGAAGAAG